CAGGGAGACAACAAAAUGUUUAAUAUUAUUAUUUUGUCACCUUAGGUCGAUCGGUAUCUCACGUUCUUAAUUUAUUAAGAAUUUCAUUUCCUAAGUUUUUCUAGGUCACACCCAUUAUUUUUCCUGGGCCAUUAGCUCAGGUGGUUAGAGCGCACCCCUGAUAAGGGUGAGGUCCCUGGUUCAAGUCCAGGAUGGCCCAUAUCUCUAUGUUGGGGGUAUAGCUCAGUUGGUAGAGCGCCUGCUUUGCAAGCAGGAUGUCAGCGGUUCGAGUCCGCUUACCUCCACUGAUUACCACCUCUUCCAUAUCUAUAGAAAGGAAAUGUUUUGAGUUGUGAUCAAAUUCUGAACGAAUCUAGCUUCCUAAUGAAAUCAUUAAGAUGCUGGACUCAUUGAAUUAAUUUCAUUGUUUUCAGAGAACCUUGACAACUGCAUAGAUUAUUUUUAAAGACAAUAAGCAUCUUUAAUGAUGCAGAUUUAUUAUUUGUGCGAACGCAUUAAAUAACAAUUCUAUUAAGCUGAUGCUUCAA
rnacentral:tRNA from 1 species